rnacentral:rRNA from 1 species
GGGUUGUGAGGUUAAGCGACUAAGCGUACACGGUGGAUGCCCUGGCAGUCAGAGGCGAUGAAGGACGUGCUAAUCUGCGAUAAGCGUCGGUGAGGUGAUAUGAACCGUUAUAACCGGCGAUUUCCGAAUGGGGAAACCCAGUGUGUUUCGACACACUAUCAUUAACUGAAUCCAUAGGUUAAUGAGGCGAACCGGGGGAACUGAAACAUCUAAGUACCCCGAGGAAAAGAAAUCAACCGAGAUUCCCCCAGUAGCGGCGAGCGAACGGGGAGGAGCCCAGAGCCUGAAUCAGUGUGUGUGUUAGUGGAAGCGUCUGGAAAGGCGUGCGAUACAGGGUGACAGCCCCGUACACAAAAAUGCACAUAUUGUGAGCUCGAUGAGUAGGGCGGGACACGUGGUAUCCUGUCUGAAUAUGGGGGGACCAUCCUCCAAGGCUAAAUACUCCUGACUGACCGAUAGUGAACCAGUACCGUGAGGGAAAGGCGAAAAGAACCCCGGCGAGGGGAGUGAAAAAGAACCUGAAACCGUGUACGUACAAGCAGUGGGAGCCUCUUAAUGGGGUGACUGCGUACCUUUUGUAUAAUGGGUCAGCGACUUAUAUUCUGUAGCAAGGUUAACCGAAUAGGGGAGCCGAAGGGAAACCGAGUCUUAACUGGGCGUUAAGUUGCAGGGUAUAGACCCGAAACCCGGUGAUCUAGCCAUGGGCAGGUUGAAGGUUGGGUAACACUAACUGGAGGACCGAACCGACUAAUGUUGAAAAAUUAGCGGAUGACUUGUGGCUGGGGGUGAAAGGCCAAUCAAACCGGGAGAUAGCUGGUUCUCCCCGAAAGCUAUUUAGGUAGCGCCUCGUGAAUUCAUCUCCGGGGGUAGAGCACUGUUUCGGCAAGGGGGUCAUCCCGACUUACCAACCCGAUGCAAACUGCGAAUACCGGAGAAUGUUAUCACGGGAGACACACGGCGGGUGCUAACGUCCGUCGUGAAGAGGGAAACAACCCAGACCGCCAGCUAAGG